rnacentral:rRNA from 1 species
GAUGAACGCUGGCGGCGUGCCUAAUACAUGCAAGUCGAGCGAACGGACGAGAAGCUUGCUUCUCUGAUGUUAGCGGCGGACGGGUGAGUAACACGUGGAUAACCUACAUAUAAGACUGGGAUAACUUCGGGAAACCGGAGCUAAUACCGGAUGAUAUUUUGAACCGCAUGGUUCAAAAGUGAAAGACGGUCUUGCUGUCACUUAUAGAUGGAUCCGCGCUGCAUUAGCUAGUUGGUAAGGUAACGGCUUACCAAGGCAACGAUGCAUAGCCGACCUGAGAGGGUGACCAGCCACACUGGGACUGAGACACGGUCCAGACUCCUACGGGAGGCAGCAGUAGGGAAUCUUCCGCAAUGGGCGAAAGCCUGAUGGAGCAACGCCGCGUGAGUGAUGAAGGUCUUCGGAUCGUAAAACUCUGUUAUUAGGGAAGAACAUAUGUGUAAGUAACUGUGCACAUCUUGACGGUACCUAAACAGAAAGCCACGGCUAACUACGUG